AGGGCAGUAGCUCAACUGGUAGAGCACCGGUCUCCAAAACCGGCGGUUGCGGGUUCGAUUCCUGCCUGCCCUGCCA
rnacentral:tRNA from 2 species